GACGAACGCUGGCGGCGUGCUUAACACAUGCAAGUCGUACGGAAAGGCCCUGGCUUUGGUUGGGGUGCUCGAGUGGCGAACGGGUGAGUAACACGUGGGUGAUCUGCCCUGCACUUUGGGAUAAGCCUGGGAAACUGGGUCUAAUACUGGAUAGGACCAUGCUUUUGUGUGUCAUGGUGGAAAGGCUUCUUUUUGGGGCUGGUGUGGGAUGAGCUUGCGGGCUAUCAGCUUGUUGGUGGGGUAAUGGCUUACCAAGGCGUGGACGGGUAGCCGGCCGGAGAGGGUAUACGGCCACAGUGGGAAUGAGAAACGGACCAGACUCCUGCGAGAGGCAGGAGUGGGGAGUAUGGCACAAUGAGCGCAAGCCUGAUGCAGCGACGCCGCGUGAGAGAUGACGGCCGUCGGGUUGUAGACCUACUUCGCUGGAGACGAAGCUUUUUUUGGUGACGGUACCUGGAGAAGAAGCACCGGCUAACUACGUG
rnacentral:rRNA from 1 species